GGAAGCAGCUGGUGCUGUCCACAUGGGCCUUGCAGCCCCUCUGAGCAGGUGUGUCUCAGGCCCAAAGGCUCUGUGCAGUCCUGCCUGUGAUUAGAUCUGUGUCUUAGAAACACCAGCCUUAUCAACAUAAACUGGGGAAGGAAGAGACUGAGGAAGGAAGCUGUUGCAUUACUUCAGUGGAAGAUGGUGCCAGUACUUUGUGGAGAGCCACAUGCUCUGAGAUGCUUCUCCUAGUGGGAAGGACUUGCAUCGUUUACAUUUGGAGGUUGCAAUUCUUUCCCAUGUAAGAUGAGGACAAUAAGCCCAACGAGGAAUGUGAUGUGCCCAAGAUCCUAUUGCUACUAGUAGAUAUCGAUCCUGACUGCACACUGGAAUAA